UACGGGGGGAGCAAGCGUUGUUCGGAUUUACUGGGCGUAAAGGGCGCGUAGGCGGCCUCCGCAAGUCAGUUGUGAAAUCUCCGAGCUUAACUCGGAAAGGUCAACUGAUACUGCGGGGCUAGAGUGCGGAAGGGGCAACUGGAAUUCUUGGUGUAGCGGUGAAAUGCGUAGAUAUCAAGAGGAACACCUGCGGCGAAGGCGGGUUGCUGGGCCGACACUGACGCUGAGGCGCGAAAGCUAGGGGAGCGAAAGGG
rnacentral:rRNA from 1 species